GUUAUAUGGUCAAGUGAAGAAGCGCAUACGGUGGAUGCCUUGGCAGUCAGAGGCGAUGAAAGACGUGGUAGCCUGCGAAAAGCUUCGGGGAGUCGGCAAACAGACUGUGAUCCGGAGAUGUCUGAAUGGGGGAACCCAGCCAUCACAAGAUGGUUAUCUUGCACUGAAUACAUAGGUGCAAGAGGCGAACCAGGGGAACUGAAACAUCUAAGUACCCUGAGGAAAAGAAAUCAACCGAGAUUCCCUUAGUAGUGGCGAGCGAACGGGGACUAGCCCUUAAGCUUCUUUGAUUUUAGCGGAACGCUCUGGAAAGUGCGGCCAUAGUGGGUGAUAGCCCUGUACGCGAAAGGAUCUUAGAAGUGAAAUCGAGUAGGACGGAGCACGAGAAACUUUGUCUGAAUAUGGGGGGACCAUCCUCCAAGGCUAAAUACUACUGACUGACCGAUAGUGAACUAGUACCGUGAGGGAAAGGCGAAAAGAACCCCGGAGAGGGGAGUGAAAUAGAUCCUGAAACCGUAUGCGUACAAGCAGUGGGAGCCCACUUUGUUGGGUGACUGCGUACCUUUUGUAUAAUGGGUCAGCGACUUAUUUUCAGUGGCGAGCUUAACCGAAUAGGGGAGGCGUAGCGAAAGCGAGUCUUAAUAGGGCGUCUAGUCGCUGGGAAUAGACCCGAAACCGGGCGAUCUAUCCAUGGGCAGGUUGAAGGUUAGGUAACACUGACUGGAGGACCGAACCGACUACCGUUGAAAAGUUAGCGGAUGACCUGUGGAUCGG
rnacentral:rRNA from 1 species